UGGUCAAGUUAUUAAGGGUGCAGGGCGGAUGCCUUGGCACUAGGAGCCGAUGAAGGACGUGAUAAGCUGCGAUAAGCUUCGGGGAGUUGCACGUAAACUUUGAUCCGAAGAUUUCCGAAUGAGGAAACUCACUUAGAGUAAUGUCUAAGUAUCAUUAAGUGAAUACAUAGCUUAAUGAGGGGAACUCAGGGAACUGAAACAUCUAAGUACCUGAAGGAAGAGAAAGAAAUUCGAUUCCGUAAGUAGCGGCGAGCGAACGCGGAUUAGCCCAAACCAAUAAAGUUUUCUUUAUUGGGGUUGCGGACAUAUCAUAACGAAGAGGUAUCGUAAUUGAAGAGGUUUGGAAAGACCCACCACAGAAGGUAAUAGUCCUGUAUGUUAAACGAGAAGACUUUAGAUAUGAUCCAGAGUACCACGGGACACGUGAAACCCUGUGGGAAGCAGGAGGGACCACCCUCCAAGGCUAAAUACUACCUAGUGACCGAUAGCGUAUAGUACCGUGAGGGAAAGGUGAAAAGAACCCCGGGAGGGGAGUGAAAUAGAACCUGAAACCCUGCACUUACAAGCUGUGGAAGCACAUUUCUUGUGUGACCGCGUACUUUUUGUAGAACGGGCCAACGAGUUACGUUAAGUAGCAAGGUUAAGCACUUAAGGUGCGGAGCCGUAGCGAAAGCGAGUUUUAACUGAGCGUUCAGUUACUUGACGUAGACCCGAAACCGGGCGACCUACCCAUGAGCAGGAUGAAGCGAAAGUAAAAUUUCGUGGAGGUCCGAACCCACGAGCGUUGAAAAGCUCGGGGAUGACUUGUGGGUAGCGGUGAAAUUCCAAUCGAGCCCGGAGAUAGCUGGUUCUCCCCGAAAUAGCUUUAGGGCUAGCCUCAAGGUGAGAGAUACGGAGGUAGAGCACUGAAUGUCCUAGGGGGUAUUGCACCUACCGAAGACUAUCAAACUCCGAAUGCCGUCAUCUUAUACUUGGGAGUCAGACUGUGGGUGAUAAGAUUCAUAGUCGAAAGGGCAACAGCCCAGAUCGUCAGCUAAGGUCCCUAAAUGUAAGUUAAGUGGUAAAGGAUGUGGGAUUGCACAGACAACCAGGAUGUUGGCUUAGAAGCAGCCACUCAUUCAAAGAGUGCGUAAUAGCUCACUGGUCGAGUGAUCCUGCGCCGAAGAUUUCCGGGGCUAAAACUUACUACCGAAGCUACGGCAUCAGUAAUGAUGGGUAGGGGAGCUUCCCAUACGGGUUGAAGCAUGACCGUAAGGACAUGUGGACAGUAUGGGAGUGAGAAUGUUGGCAUGAGUAGCGAGAUGUGGGUGAGAAUCCCACAGGCCGUAAACCCAAGGUUUCCAGGGGAAGGUUCGUCCGCCCUGGGUUAGUCGGGACCUAAGCUGAGGCCGAAAGGCGUAGG
rnacentral:rRNA from 1 species